UGAGGAAUAUUGGUCAAUGGGCGAGAGCCUGAACCAGCCAAGUAGCGUGCAGGAUGACGGCCCUAUGGGUUGUAAACUGCUUUUAUGCGGGGAUAAAGUGCGUGACGUGUCGUGCAUUGCAGGAACCGCAUGAAUAAGGACCGGCUAAUUCCGUGCCAGCAGCCGCGGUAAUACGGAAGGUCCGGGCGUUAUCCGGAUUUAUUGGGUUUAAAGGGAGCGUAGGCCGCCAGAUAAGCGUGUUGUGAAAUGUACCGGCUCAACCGGUGAAUUGCAGCGCGAACUGUUUGGCUUGAGUGCACGGUAAGCAGGCGGAAUUCAUGGUGUAGCGGUGAAAUGCUUAGAUAUCAUGAAGAACUCCGAUUGCGAAGGCAGCUUGCUGCAGUGCGACUGACGCUGAUGCUCGAAGGUGCGGGUAUCAAACAGG
rnacentral:rRNA from 1 species